UCGGGAAUAUUGGGCAAUGCCCGAAAGGGUGACCCAGCGACGCCGCGUGGAGGAUGAAGGCUUUCGAGUCGUAAACUCCUGUUCGGGGAGACGAAGUCCCGCAAGGGAUUGACGGUAUCCCCGGAGUAAGUCCCGGCUAACUCCGUGCCAGCAGCCGCGGUAAGACGGAGGGGGCAAGCGUUGUCCGGAUUGACUGGGUGUAAAGGGUGCGUAGGUUGUUCGGCGGGUCCAGCAUUAAAUCCCCCGGCCUAACCGGGGAAAUGUGUUGGAAACUACCAAGCUGGAGUCUGAAAGAGGAGAGCGGAACUCCUGGUGUAACGGUGAAAUGUGUGGAUAUCAGGAGGAACACCGGUGGCGAAGGCGGCUCUCUAGUUCAAGACUGACACUGAGGCACGAAAGCCGGGGGAGCAAACAGG
rnacentral:rRNA from 1 species